AAGACUAUACUUCACAGGAUCAUUUCUGUAGUCGGUCUUCCAAUACUCUGUUUUAAACACAGAGCAUUUGCAACCAUGAUGAGGAGUGACAGCCUCACAUCCUGAGCGUGAGACAUGUUGUUAGUUCGUACAACGAAUCUCGACAAACGAUGAUCGUUCACCCACUGAAUUGUUUCGGUGGGAAUGGAUGUGAUGCAUUCUGAGUGGU